rnacentral:rRNA from 1 species
CGGACGGGUGAGUAACGCGUGAGAAUCUGGCUUCAGGUCUGGGACAACCACUGGAAACGGUGGCUAAUACCGGAUGUGCCCUUCGGGGUGAAAGAUUAAUUGCCUGAAGAUGAGCUCGCGUCUGAAUAGCUAGUUGGAAGUGUAAUGGACUCCCAAGGCGACGAUCAGUAGCUGGUCUGAGAGGACGAUCAGCCACACUGGGACUGAGACACGGCCCAGACUCCUACGGGAGGCAGCAGUGGGGAAUUUUCCGCAAUGGGCGAAAGCCUGACGGAGCAAUACCGCGUGAGGGAGGAAGGCUCUUGGGUCGUAAACCUCUUUUCUCAGGGAAGAACACAAUGACGGUACCUGAGGAAUAAGCAUCGGCUAACUCCGUGCCAGCAGCCGCGGUAAUACGGAGGAUGCAAGCGUUAUCCGGAAUGAUUGGGCGUAAAGCGUCCGCAGGUGGCAAUGUAAGUCUGCUGUUAAAGAGUCUAGCUCAACUAGAUAAGAGCAGUGGAAACUACAUAGCUAGAGUACGUUCGGGGCAGAGGGAAUUCCUGGUGUAGCGGUGAAAUGCGUAGAGAUCAGGAAGAACACCAGUGGCGAAGGCGCUCUGCUAGGCCGUAACUGACACUGAGGGACGAAAGCUAGGGGAGCGAAUGGGAUUAGAUACCCCAGUAGUC